GGAAAAUGUGUGAGUGAAUGUAGGGGUGUGUAGUGUUGGCGUUUGCAUAGAAUUCAUACUAGCCACCCAGAUUUCCUGUUCUGUGCUGGCUGACUCCUCUAAGCUUCGAUCUUUGUUUAGCAGAUAACUCCUCUAUUUGAUAUCCCUAUGUGAGAUUGCCAUAUUUAGAUCUAAAGAGCACCCUAAUUUGGCAUAUUUAAAUAUGGAAAUCUCAC